GAUGAACGCUGGCGGCGUGCCUAAUACAUGCAAGUCGAGCGAUUGGAUUAAGAGCUUGCUCUUAUGAAGUUAGCGGCGGACGGGUGAGUAACACGUGGGUAACCUGCCCAUAAGACUGGGAUAACUCCGGGAAACCGGGGCUAAUACCGGAUAACAUUUUGAACCGCAUGGUUCGAAAUUGAAAGGCGGCUUCGGCUGUCACUUAUGGAUGGACCCGCGUCGCAUUAGCUAGUUGGUGAGGUAACGGCUCACCAAGGCAACGAUGCGUAGCCGACAUGAGAGGGUGAUCGGCCACCCUGGGACUGAGACACGGCCCAGACUCCUACGGGAGGCAGCAGUAGGGAAUCUUCCGCAAUGGACGAAAGUCUGACGGAGCAACGCAGCGGGAGUGAUGAAGGCUUUCGGGUCGUAAAACUCUGUUGUUAGGGAAGAACAAGUGCUAGUUGAAUAAGCUGGCACCUUGACGGUACCUAACCAGAAAGCCACGGCUAACUACGUGCCAGCCGCCGCCGUAA
rnacentral:rRNA from 1 species